UAUACACUAUUACAAUGUUACAAUUAUUAACUGUUAUCUACAGGAAGGAGUGGGUGCGAAGUUCUAAACCCCAUCCGAUAGGAUUAAGUCUUAGAAGGAUCAAAGGUAUAAUCCGCAGGGACCAGCCGUUGGACAUUGAUUGUUUCAACAUGGCUAUAUGUAUACUUGCAAGUGACGAGGCCUUACUGACAAGAGAUCCUCCCGUGCGCUUUAUGGAUCUACAAUUUUGUACGGCCGUGAUUGAAGCUGCCCUCACUUCCUUACGAGAUUUAGAUUCGCGGGUAUAGCCAGAUAUUCAGGCGCUAGCAUCAUUGCUUCGUAGCUCGACUGAGAUAGACCACACCAUCUCAUCAUGCAAUUGGAUAUUGCUUCCUCAUGCAUUCCUCGGCCACUUCAUCUUGUUCGCAAUCGACAAACAUGCCCGUCAAGUAUCUAUUUUGGACCCACUUAUUCCGUCCUUAUCUUCAGAGAGAUAUGCAUUAAAAUUUCAGAGGGUUGCAUUCUACCUGAAUGAUGCACUCGAAUUAGCACAACCGGGUUGGAAGUCUGAUACAUUUUUCUGGCCACGUAAAUCACCAAUUGAUGUUCCGACGAGCGUAGACCGGGAUGAAUCUGGUUAUUUUACUAAAUAAUAGGUGGGUUGAUUGAUAUGAAGUUUGUUCAGCAAUUUAUUGAGUGGAGGUGGGCUUUUCUAGCAAGCGAGUUGUCUACAAAGGAUCCCCGACACAGGAUGUAUGAGUAUUUGACAAAAAACUACCACAUUAGGGGUUGCCGUCCCACAGAACUACCACAUUCAAAACUGAUAACUAUCAAAAAUUUCUAAUUUUGUGACUAAAAACUACCACUUUUGAAAAAUGGUCAGUUUAGACGAUUUAAACACAUUUAUGACAUGCGGGACCCACCUGUCAGGGUUGACGUGGCGGCAAAGUCAACUCUAUUUAUUUUGACCAUUACAUUGACCGUUAUUACAAGUGGGGCCCACCUGUCAGCAUCACCCUUCUUCUUCCUCCUCUCUCUGGCAUUUCCUCGAACACCUUGUGUGCAUCCGGGCUUGAGCUCCGAACUCCUCCAUGGUGACGCCCCGACGCAGCACGUCAUUGGCGUUGGUUGGGGACAGGAACGGUGGCGCAACCAAGGUGGCUGGAGCUGUGGAAGCGGCCGUCGAAGGUGACGAAAUUUCCUUCGAGGCCGUCGACGCCACCACCCGACGCAGCUCCUCGACGAUGGUCUCCUUGAGGAUUUUGUGCUCGAGCAAGUCGGUGCGCAGGCGGGACUCUCGCUCUUGCAGCUCCUCGACGAGGCGUGCGAGCUUGGCGGCAUCCGGCGCCGUGGCCUCGCGCGCCGGCUGCAACUGCACGGAGGACGGGAGGUGGGCGACGAAGAGCCCCAGGAGCUCAUGUGGUAGCUCGGACCAAGGCCGAUACUUGAGCGUGCGUGUGUGUUGCCGUUUAAUUCUUUGAACAAGAAUUUAGUGGCCAAUGCUUGAGCGUACGCGUGCCUUGUAGGUUUGUGGGAGUGCUAGCUAGGUUGGUUCGUGCGUGCGAGUACUAGCUAGGUGGUCGCCGGCAGAGGACCUCGCCAGAGUGACGCGAGGGGGAGAGGCGGUCGCCGGAGUGGUUGGGCAGCUCGGGCUCUCCCGAUCCAGACGGGAUCGAGGCAUGGGGAGAGGUGAGCGCCAGCAGUUGAGGACGACGGAGGUGCCUUGCGAGUGCACACGAGG